GGUCCUACGGGAGGCAGCAGUGGGGAAUAUUGGGCAAUGGGCGCAAGCCUGACCCAGCAACGCCGCGUGAGGGAAGAAGGCUUUCGGGUUGUAAACCUCUGUCCUUGGUGACGAAACAAAUGACGGUAGCCAAGGAGGAAGCCCCGGCUAACUACGUGCCAGCAGCCGCGGUAAUACGUAGGGGGCGAGCGUUGUCCGGAAUUACUGGGCGUCAAGGGUGCGUAGGUGGCCUUUUAAGUUGGAUGUGAAAUACCCUGGGUUAACGUGGGGGGUGCAACUAAUACUGGAGGGCUAGAGUGCAGGAGAGGAAAGCGGAAUUCCUAGUGUAGCGGUGAAAUGCGUAGAUAUUAGGAGGAACACCAGUGGCGAAGGCGGCUUUCUGGACUGUAACUGACACUGAGGCACGAAAGCGUGGGGAGCAAACAGGAUUAGAUACCCCGGUAGUCCA
rnacentral:rRNA from 1 species